rnacentral:rRNA from 1 species
UACAGGGGGGGCAAGCGUUGUUCGGAAUUAUUGGGCGUAAAGGGCUCGUAGGCGGCCCACUAAGUCAGACGUGAAAUCCCUCAGCUUAACUGGGGAACUGCGUCUGAUACUGGAUGGCUUGAGUUUGGGAGAGGGAUGCGGAAUUCCAGGUGUAGCGGUGAAAUGCGUAGAUAUCUGGAGGAACACCGGUGGCGAAGGCGGCACCCUGGACCGACACUGACGCUGAGGAGCGAAAGCCAGGGGAGCAAACGGG